UGAAGGUGACCUUUUAAGAGCAUUACUCGCUUUGUAAACAACUACGUUUUUUUGUGGUUUUCAUUCAGUGUUGUUACGAGCUUUUCCUAGAAGGCACAGCAGAUGCAACGAAGGCCCGAGAGAGGUUGAUAUCUCUGUCAAAUAUUCAAGAUAUUUAAAAGGAAACCGUCGAUUGGUGAAACUUAUCUUUCGAACAAGGGCUAAUUUUACUAAAGGCUAUGCCAUUGCUGAUAAUGAAAUGUCAAUAAUAAUAAUAUUUUAUAUAGUAUUAUUUGAUGGCUGAGGGUAUAAAGCCUAGAUUGUCACGUGUGGAGUUUCUUUACCCAGAGCAACCAAUCACCGAUCCGAUCCGAUGAAAUUAAUGUAUACUUAUAUAUUAUGCUCCAUAAUUCCCUCUAGAAAGUCAUUCCACUCACGAAUAAUCGCUCUGAAGUGAUCGAAGUGAAGCUGAAGCUUUAGAGAGCGCAGAGUUUUGCAUUAAAUUUGCUGGGGAAAGUGGUUUGAGUACGUAACCCUUAAAAAUUGGUUAAAUAUAUACCUUUUGAAGCUGGGCUGAACAUGUGUAAAUGCGAAGAAAUAUUGCCAGCCUUGUGGCGAAAAAUAGUAAUAUACGAAGGAUCACCAAAGACACCAAUAUAUUUUUUAUGUGCCAUUUUAUGGUACUUAAGUCCAAAAUUACCAGCCAUAUGCUCUUUACUGGUACUAAGAAAAUCUGCAGACAUCAAGAAUUAAGAUUGUCACACAGAAUCCUUUAAAAAAAAGCACAUACCAAAUUGACUCAAACGAUAUCCGAGUAAUACCAAUAUAACCUCAUUAGUUUCCAUCAAAUAUUCGGGACCUGUGGGACUUGGAACCUCCACCGUGUAUAAAGAGCAAAAUGGGUAGUUUUUCAGCGGACCUUUUCUAAAAUUUAUAAAGGAAGAUGAGCAAAAACCUUAUCGAAAAAAAAGAAAAUUGCAAGCGGUAGAGAGAAAAGUUAAAGGAAGAUCAAUUAAAAUUACAGAACUAUAAAUUAAAAACAGGAAAGAACACCAAAAGCUAGGCAAAAAUCAAAAGCGUUGGCUGAAGGAAAUAUUGAAAUUCAUAAAUAUGUCUGCUGCAAUAAUGAAAACUGUAUGGCAAGCAAUUGCAAGAAAUAUAUUUAGUAAAUAUGUAGCGGAAAAUAGAUAAUCAUAUAGCUCUUACCAAUACCAUUGGGUCUCUUUCCCACCUAAUGGCUGACGUCGAGAAAAAUUACUUUCGUUUAAAAGUAAUUUUUUUGAGAAAAGAGCUCAGCAAAGAUAUUGUGAGAAAAACAAAAGCAAAAUAAAUUCUACUGAACUGAAUUCAAAUAGAUUUUGCCGAGAAUUAUACAAAUCGAAGUGAGAUACAGAGUGCUCAGUUUAGCAGAAGUUUCAAAAUCGUUUGCUGUUAUAAGUUAUAAGCUAACACAUAACCAACACGACGUGUUUACUUUCAUGAUAAAUCUCUUAACUGAAAAAGAAAUCCUAUGAGAGUUUUUCUAAAAUAUUUAUUUUUCUGAUGGAAGCUACUCUCAGUUUAAAAACAAAUUUAUAUUAUCAAGCCCGGUUGAUCUUAUAAAACAAUUAAAAUGCUCUUGAUUAGAAUGGAAUUUUUUCUUUAAACGCUUUUACUGGAGACUUGUUGAUAUAAAUUCGGUACCAAAACAGCAGAAUCAACAUAAAUAUUAUGAUG